AUGGAUCUUUCCAAAAGAGAUACAGCUAAUAUCACUCACUCGUCUCGUUCUGCAGAGGAUUGAGAUAGCUUCCCUGGUAAAUAGACCUCCGGUGCUGUUUUCGGAGGAGUCUCCAAAAACAGUCUUAACUCUACAUUCACCAUUAAAUAAAAGAGGAUUUCUAUGAAAUAAAAGCAAAACAAAGGAACAACUAUGAUUUAUCUCGCUGGUUACACCACCACUGCCGUCGGAAUCAAUAAUCGGGUACCAAUUUCUUUGACAUCAAUUAUACCAAACAGCACGGUUUUGUCACGCUACGUCGUCGUAUUUAAGUUCAGUAGCUCCUCUGAACCAGUUUGGACAGAUUAUCCCAUAGAGAACGCUUACGAGCUUUUAGGAAUAUCAGAAACAAGCUCAUUGGUUGAGAUCAAAGCGUCGUUUCGCAAAUUGGCGAAAGAAACUCACCCUGACCUCGCUGAUUCAAGGAACGAUUCCACUGCGUCUCGACGAUUCGUUCAAAUCCUUGCUGCUUAUGAGAUUCUUUCAGAUUCUCGGAAGAGAGCCCAUUAUGACAUGUACUUAUAUUCUCAGAAAAAGCUUAUGCAGAAGCGUUCUGAACAGGGUUCAAAAUUGCGCAUUUACGAAUCACAGGCUACGGCAUUCAAGGAGAUGGAAGUUGUUGAAUGGUUAAGGUGGUACAGAUUAGCUAUAAGUGAUAUUUUGUCAGAGAAGAAGGUGGUGGUUGGAACAGGAUAUUUUGAUAUUCUUGAGAGAGAUUUUUAUUCUGCCAUUCAUGCAGCAUACUAUGGUCCCGAAAUUGAUUCUAUCCCCAUGGAGCUUCUUCCUGACUGUUUUGAGGCUGAGGAGAGGUCCUCUUAUGAAACUCCUGAGGUUUUACACUUGGUUUCAGGCCGUGAUCUUUUUGGGAUGGUUUGCCUAGUCAACAAGACUCCAGAGAUAUCAUCUACUGAAAGUGAAAAGUUAACUUCUUAUAGAUCCUUCCAUUCAGGCCUUUGUCAAUCUAUAACGGAUGUUAACAUUCACAGGCAUGUACAAAUGCCAGAUGAUUUUGGAACUCAACAAGGUCACAGCUCUAAAAUUUCAAGCAAUGUAUCAGAUGCGUAUAGAGAUCUAGAAUUGCAUGUUUCCGGAAAAUUAGUUGCUACGGCAUCUAGGGUCCUACCCAGAUGUUGUUCUGGUGUGAUGCAAAAAGAAGAUGAUGAAGAUCACAUUCACGUGUUCCUUAAUUCAGAUGAAGAUCCUAGACAUAUCAGUAGUAGCUUUUCAAGAAAUUUAUUUGCAAAUAGCACAGUUGGAAGCAAAAUGCAUUUGGGAACCAUAUCUGGACUUGGGAGCAGUCCAGACGAAGGAUGUUGUUAUGUCUACAACAGUAGUCGUGAAAAGACCCAUGUGAUUAUGAAACAUCGAACAUUGUUGGUGAAGCAUAUGCACUGGUAUCAUGUGGGUGAGAAAGUUUCAGUUUGCGAGUGUAGAUGCACGAGAGCAUGUUUACCACCAAGCAAUUAUACAGAUUUUGGCUAUUUGAGCCUCGUUGUGGCUUUCAUGACAUAGGGGGUUGGUAUGUUGAAACAUAUGGCAAAGAUAAGAAGGGUCGUACUAUACUAUCGCAAAGGUUCUGGGAUGGAUUGGAUUAUAGCGAGCAAGCUGAAAAAAGACUUCAUCCAGCAAUGUAUCUGUUUGCUCUUGCAUAUCGAACACUUGAUCUUGAAUAUGCCAAAACAAGCAAGAAAACAUUUAGGAAAGCCGUUGGAGCACAUAUGUUCCGAAUUCUUCACUGGUGCAGGAAACUUGCUAAAUAGAAGAUUUCCCUGUAUAUUUACAACCACACAACGACUCUUGGGAGUGAUACUCUAAAAGUACCUAAAGGAAAACUCAUCAGAGGCCUCACUUAGUCUUAUCUACUUAGUUGGAGAAAAUUCAUCUUUUGAUCUUCCUGGUGCUGUGAUCUAUUGGCCAAAUACUGAACUCAAUUGGUCAAGGACUAGCUGCUGGUGCUGCUAUAAUACUCAAGAAACCAAUGCCUUGCCUGAGCCUAGUUGCACGGCGUUGAUUUUGUCAAAAAUGCUCUCUGUAGCUACUUACCUCAGCAUUGUUAUGAAAGACUGAAUUUCAGACAAGAGGUCACUAAUCCUGCUGAAAGGAUUCUGAGGUUUACUAUGGGAAGAAAUUUAGACUUUUUUUUUGUUCAUAAUGGACGAAUAAAUUCUCUUUCUGCUGUUUUUCAAAGAACCCCAACAGAAUCUUUGUCGAUAUAUAUAUAUAUGGGGUUGUAUAUGUGUACCAUACCUUUGCAGAAGCCUAAAUGCCCCCAAAACAAAAUUCUUUAUUUUGGCAA